rnacentral:rRNA from 1 species
AUUGAACGCUGGCGGCAUGCCUUACACAUGCAAGUCGAACGGUAACAGGUCUUCGGAUGCUGACGAGUGGCGAACGGGUGAGUAAUACAUCGGAACGUGCCUAGUAGUGGGGGAUAACUACUCGAAAGAGUGGCUAAUACCGCAUGAGAUCUACGGAUGAAAGCAGGGGAUCGCAAGACCUUGUGCUACUAGAGCGGCCGAUGGCAGGUAAGGUAGUUGGUGGAUAAAAGCUUACCAAGCCGACGAUCUGUAGCUGGUCUGAGAGGACGAUCAGCCACACUGGGACUGAGAAACGGCCCAGGCUCCUACGGGAGGCAGCAGUGGGGAAUUUUGGACAAUGGGCGAAAGCCUGAUCCAGCAAUGCCGCGUGCAGGAUGAAGGCCUUCGGGUUGUAAACUGCUUUUGUACGGAACGAAAAGCCCCGGGUUAAUACCCUGGGGUCAUGACGGUACCGUAAGAAUAAGCACCGGCUAACUACGUGCCAGCCGCCGCGGUAA